rnacentral:rRNA from 1 species
GAUAUAUGACACUGGGGGCAACACCGUGCCACCCCAGCCCCGUGUGUGAGGAAGGGCUUCGCAGAUUGUAGACCUCUGUGUUGGGAGGAGAAGGUUUAGGUGAUUACCCUGAAGUAUUGACCGUACCAAUAGAAUACUGACCGCCUAACUAUGUGCCAGCAGCCGCGGGAAUACAGAGGGUGCAAGCGUGAAUCGGAAUGACUGGGCGUAAAGCACGCGUAGGUAGUUCAAUAAGAUGGGUGUGAAAUCCCCGGGCUUAACCUGGGAAGUGCUGUCAUAACUGAUGGGCUAGAGUACGGUAGAGGGAGGUGGAAUUUCCUGUGUAGCGGUGAAAUGAGUAGAUAUAGGAAGGAACACCAGUGGCGAAGGCGGCUACCUGGACUGAUACUAACACUGAGGUGCGAAAGCGUGGGGAGCAAAC